GGAGAUCGAGGGGAAACUUCAUUGCAGUUACAGCUUCCUCAUGAGGGAAAGUGAAGAUGCAGGCGCUGAUCUCUUCCCUCCAGUGACCAGUGAUAGGACCCAAGGGAUUGACAUGAAGUUGUGUCAGGGGAAGUUUAGGUUGGAUAUUAGGAAAAGGUUCUUCACCCAGAGGGUACUCAUGC